AGACUGGAAUGAAUGGAUAUAUUGGGGCAAUUCUUUCUUAGAUUAAUGAGUAAAAGUAAAUUUUUUAGUGAGGAAGCUAAAAUUUUGUUGAGGGACGAGAAGACCCUAUUAAGCUUAAUAAAAUUAUUUUGUUGGGGAAACAAAAGAAAAAAAUUUCUUUUUUCAAAAAUUUUUUGAUAAAUUUUUUGAUUCACUAUUGGUGAAUAAUAGAACAAGUUACUAUAGGGAUAACAGCAUAAUAUUUUUUAAAAGUUCAUAUUGACAAAAAAGGUUAUGACCUCGAUGUUGGAUUAAAAUUAUUAUAUGAUGUAGUUGUUGUAUAAAUUAGUCUGUUCGACUAUUAAAAUUUUAC
rnacentral:rRNA from 1 species